AAUGAACGCUGGCGGCAGGCCUAACACAUGCAAGUCGAGCGGGGUUUUCGGACCUAGCGGCGGACGGGUGAGUAAUGCGUAGGAAGCUACCCGAUAGAGGGGGAUACCAGUUGGAAACGACUGUUAAUACCGCAUAAUGUCUACGGACCAAAGUGUGGGACCUUCGGGCCACAUGCUAUCGGAUGCGCCUACGUGGGAUUAGCUAGUUGGUGGGGUAAUGGCUCACCAAGGCGACGAUCCCUAGAUGGUUUGUGAGGAUGAUCAGCCACACUGGAACUGAGACACGGUCCAGACUCCUACGGGAGGCAGCAGUGGGGAAUAUUGGACAAUGGGCGCAAGCCUGAUCCAGCCAUGCCGCGUGUGUGAAGAAGGCCUUCGGGUUGUAAAGCACUUUCAGUAGGGAGGAAGGGUGUUGUGUUAAUAGCACAGCAUUUUGACGUUACCUACAGAAGAAGCACCGGCUAACUCUGUGCCAGCCGCCGCCGUAA
rnacentral:rRNA from 1 species